UACGAAGGGGGGCUAGCGUUGCUCGGAAUUACUGGGCGUAAAGCGUGCGUAGGCGGUUUCUUAAGUCCGUUGUGAAAGCCCUGGGCUCAACCUGGGAACUGCGAUGGAUACUGAGGAGCUGGAGUACGGUAGAGGAAGGUGGAAUUCCCGGUGUAGCGGUGAAAUGCGUAGAUAUCUGGAGGAACACCGGUGGCGAAGGCGGCAUCCUGGACCGGUAUUGACGCUGAGGCGCGAAAGCUAGGGGAGCAAACGGGG
rnacentral:rRNA from 1 species